GUCCAACCUUUGAAGCGGAAGCACCAAGCGUAACAUCCAUCAUCAUGGAGAACCAACUUUGCUUUGAUCCCGGCACAACUCCUACACCUUUGUCCACAUACAUUCAAGAGCACUAUGAGAAACUUGAUUUGAUUAAUUCUCUGCCUGAAAUGUUUGUUAAGAUCAAUUCUGAAGAUGUGAAACAUUUUGGUUUUGACAAAGUUAAAGAAUUUUGUGUUUCAAACUCUAUUUCUGAAAACAUGGUUAACUCUUUUCAAUUGUUUGAACCUGAUAAACUUUCUGAUCAAAAACGUUUUCAAAUUGGCAAUGACAUCAAUUCUAAUCUUGCUUUGAGUUUUGAUCAGUUUCUGAAACAUAGCAAGGGUUUUGAUCAUCUUGAAAAGUUAUUAGAGUUUGGUUUGUAACAACCUGUUUUAUGUGCUAGAAAAUCAUUUGAUUCAUUUGUCUUCAAAUAAAAUGGCUUUGAUCUGAGUUUUCAUAAACAUGAACUGAUCACUGGUGAUUUGUUUGCAUCCACUUGUGCCUUGGACGAACUAAUGAUUUUUAAGACUGUGUUGGAACAGAGAUCACCUAGAGUUGAAACCGAUUUUUGUGAUUUUGUUUUGAAGUUUGAUAUCUUGUGUGUUGAAACUGAUAAAACUUUGGCGUAAUUUGAGAUCAUUGCUUGAGAUUGUGUUGUUUUGAGCUUUGAUGUUAUUUUGGUUUACAACACAUUCUUUGAAAAACAUAUUGAGCUUUUAAUAAGUGAUUCUCAAUCCGAACUUACUCUUUUGUGUUCUGAUUUUGAGAAGGAUAGGCACGUUUUGAAAAUGUUCAAUAUUAUUUUGUGCCUUGAUACCAUUCUGGUCUAUAAUGCUUACUUUGAUGUGCAUUUUGAAAGGCUGAAACGUGUGCUACAUGUUCUUGGGAAAGAGACGUUGAUUGCUUAUUUGAGCAAGUACAUGUCUUGCACAUAUGAUCCUGGUAUUCUAGUUUCUGUUUUGAGUGUCCAGUAUAAACAGAUUCAGUCUCAAAGAAAUGUAAGGAACAAAAGCAUAGACCGUGCUUAUCAGCCUAAGAUUUGGAGAUAGAAGUACUUGAGGAAAACAACUUCAAAACUCCAAGGAAGUUUCUUUCCAAAAUUUUCCUUCACUAUAUUUUACAUGUUCUUUAGAUUCUUUGUGCCUGAUUAAUUUCCUUUUGAUACAUGUAAAACAGAUUUGAGGUCCUUUUCAAGAGGGAGGGAAUGAUGCGCCCUUGGGUAGCGCACCGGGCAAAACAUACAUGCAUGGCUUGAUCAUGGAAAGCAGUAAAGAUAUAUGUUCAUUGUUUGACCCAUAUCUUCCAAACCACGAGGCUUCUAUGUAUGAAAUCACUUGUAGAAUGUUCUCAACUCAAUUAUGGAGCUCCUCGAAGAAGAAUCAGAUCAAACGGAGUUCAUAUGUGACAGUUAUGCCAUUUACAAAUCAUGUAGUCUUCAGUUCUCGCGAAUUCAGAACACCCGAGAAGUUGGAAAUGGCUAACCUUCUUUCUGAUGAACCAGCGACCAAUUCAAUCAUCCCAAAGGUGAUUAUUCAUGUUCUAAAUGUCCAUGAAAGUUUUGGGCUUGAUGGUUUACAAAAAGAAUCAAAAAUAGACUUGUUUGGACCAAAUGGAGAAACCGAUAAAAAUUGGCUAAGGAAAAAAUAUGGAUUUCGACCAGACCUUAAAGAGACAUGUCUUGGCCCAUAUCAGGAGCAUAUUAUUCACUUUUCAAAGUCAUGGUCGUUGCUAUAUCAAGAGGCAGCCCAAGUUUCAGUCAAAGACUUUAUUUAGUCAAGUCUUUGUUUAUAUUUCCAAUGUUUUGUUUUUAGCACAUUCUUCUUUGGAUCUCUACAACUUGUAAUCCUAUAAAUAAUGCCUAAGAGCCACGAAAUAAGACAAACUUUUUCCCCUUUUUAUUGAGUUUAUCUCCUUUGUUCUUUGUAGAAUACUUCUUUUUUCUUGGUGUGGUUAGCUCCAAGUAAACUUCUCUAUUUCGUUGGAUGUGCAUCAUAUCAAGCAACAUAUAGAAACCUUUCUUUUGUUGGACUUGUGCGUCAUAUCAAGCAACAACUGGAGUUUGGUAGUAUCAAGAGACUUUCCGACCCUCUUGUAUCACCGUUCAAUCCAUCAGUUCUCCCUUUUGGCGAGUUCAUAUCCCUUAAGUCCAAUUGAGUGAUCCUUCCCUAUUUUAGGGCAUGCCUUUCUAUAUAUUUUUUAAAUGAGAGCACUAAGUUGGAAUUGCCGAGGAAUGAGAAGUAAGUGGACUAUAAGUUAUUUAAGGGAGAUAUGGCAUAAACAUAAGCCAGAUUUUUUAUUUUUAUCGGAGACAAAGCAAGAGUUUGAGUUUGUUCAUGAAUUUCAAUCUCAUUUUGGAUUUGAUAAUCUUGUCACAGUGGAUCCAGUGGGACGGAGAGGUGGCUAGCACUUUAUUACAAUAAUGAGUAUCAGGUUAAUGUUUUAUAUUCAAGUAAUCGAAUGAUAGAUGUGGAAGCAGUGGCUCUUGGGAAAAACAGUAUAUAUGACGUUUGUGUAUGGAGAUCCAGUUCAAGAUCUACGAGAACAAGUGUGGGAACGCUUAACUUGAUAUGAAAUUUCACGAUCCGAACCUUGAUUUAUUAUUGGUGAUUUAUUAUUGGUGAUUUAAAUGAGAUCACAGGAAAUCAUGAAAAAGAGGGUGGAGCUUUGAGAAGUGCGAACUCAUUUGUUCCUUUUAAUAAUAUGAUAAGGAAUUGUAGAUUACUGGAGUUUCCUGUUAAGGGAAAUAAGUUGUCAUGGCAAGGAAGAAAGGGCAAAGGCAAAGGGGCAGUAAUGGUUAGAUGUCGUUUAGAUCGUGCAUUUGUGAAUGAGGAGUGGCACACUCUAUUCCCCUGUUCUUAUACAGAAUAUUUAGGGAUGGUGGCAUCGGAUCACCGCCCAGUGGUGGCUUACUUAGAAGAUAAAGUUCUCCGGAGAAAAUGGCAGUUUAGAUUUGAUAAGAGAUGGGUUAGACAAGAAGGCCUUAUGGAAUCUAUCUAUCUAUACUAAUAAAGAACAGUUUGUUCUCUUCUCAUUAAGCCACAUAGGCAUCCACGUAGAUAAGUCACUCUCGGCAGCGGUGACACGUGUUGAGUUUUGUCCAAACUCAUCGUUUCAUUAAAAUAAGAGAAUGCGACGUAGAUCUUCUUUCAUCUUUUCUAAAAUCCUAAGCGUUUCACCUCCUACGGUUUCCAGAUUGAUAAUGAACUUUAAUAAUCAUCAAUAGAAACGUCCCCUUCAAUCACAUGUCCUAAAUUCACAUCUACUCCCUUCCAAGCUUUCUCUAUCGUCAUGAUUCACAUGGGAUUCAAAGCUUUUAGCAGAAAGUUGGAUUCAUAAGACUCCUUAGUCCGACGUCACCGUCGCUCCAACAAAUGAAGCCUCUGCCAGCCUCGGUCGUAAAUGGAAGUGGAAUCAAGGUAUCGGAUCCCUCUCCCCAGCUUCCUGUCUUCAGAACGCUGAUUGCAGUCAGUUGAUUGGAUUGAAGGAAAGACAUCACUUUGCAAAUCGAAAUUAGGUUAGAGCCGGAUACUGUUGCUUCCUUUUGCUUACUGAUAAGAUUGAAUAUUGAUAUUGACAUCGUCUCUAUGUAUUAAAUUUUAUGAUACUUUGAUGAUGAUAUAUAUUUUAAUUUGAUUGGAAAUAAGUGGUUCAACAGAUGCCACCAAGCUCUAUAACCACAGCUGGUGGUCCGCCUGCUCUAACUCCUGCACCACCUUCCAAACUGAUGUUCAGGUAGUUUAGUUAUCCAAAGUGUUUUUCCUCUCUUCUUUUAGUUUAUCACUCACUAUAUAUCUCAAACUCGAUAGAUCAACAGACCCGAGUUCUACCAGAAGCAGGAAGAAGUGACGGUCUCAAUUUUCUCCAAAGCAUAACGUAAAAAGUCGAGUUUGAUGACCAGAUUGUGAGUAUCAUUCGAUCAGAUAAAUGCAUUACCUUUAACUGAACCUAUCUUGCUUUGUGAUUUGGCACUGCGUACUGAUUUGAGAUAUCUAUUCAGGUUAUGUUUUUCAGUUGAUGAUGUUUCUCAUUUUGCUGGAGAAGAAGCUUAUCUUUACUAACCAAGUUUGUUUGGGAAGGUGUAUAUAUUCGUCAACUUGAAUAGUGGGUUUUGUCCAUGCCUUUACUAAAUCAAUAUUCAUGUGUUAUAUAGAUAGUACGUGAAGUGCAUAUAUAAAGUUUUUGGAGCCAAAUGUUGAGAUCCGUCUCGCAAAAGCUGAGAUAGUAACUUGGGCAUCCCUUGAAUAUGGAAAAGGGAUAGCUCUUCUGCCUAAACCUAAUCUCGCAUCAGUUUUUUUAAAACAGCGAAGUCUUUAUUUCUGCUUACUUUUUCGCUUUGUUUUAAUCUAUUCAUAACAGCCGUGUGUGCCGUGAUACAGGGCUCGGUGGACGUUGUGUUUAUGAGAAGAACUGAUGAAUUCCAAGCUAUGAAGAGACACAACAAUGUACUGUUGCAUCAUGCAUGGACGGUUAAUGGAUCAAAAGAUUCUGGAUGGAAAUACUGAGGUUGCUCCUGUUGCAACUCGAGUCCAUGUAAAUGGAUUGAAGGAAGGAUUGAGAGGACUGUUUCCAUUGUUGGAGGCAGGAAAAGAAGACUAGGAAGAUGCACAUCUCCUUCUGUGAGACACCUUCCAAUGUAAGUGUUAAUGACUCUGAGCUCGAGUCCGAUGUAAGUGUUUAUGACGAAUUUGAUAUGGUUUUAUGUCUCCUUUGAUGAAUGUAUGUGUUUACUGUAUUAACUGUUUCUAUAUGGAUAAAGAAAAGUUUUACAUCAACAUUGUGGUCGUAGGAAGAGACGACUCUGGAAAAUCGACAGACACUGGUCACUUGAUCGACAAGCUUCAUGGUUUAGGAAGUUUUAGACCACCGAGUACUACUGCACUGUCUUUGCUGCUUCUUAUCUUGAUUUCAUCAAGAACAUGGUUAGUGGUACCUCCCAGGAUGAUUGUGUUGUUUUUAUCAUUGACUCCACCAUUGGUGGUUUCAAAGUUGGUAUCUCUAAGGAUGGACAGACCCCAUGAGCACACUCUCCUUGCUUCACCCUUGAUGUCAAGCAAUGAUUUUUUUUUCUGUAAUAAGGUGAACUAGCUUUUCAUUUUUCAUUGCUUGAUGUGACCAUACUCUUUUGAUACGAUACUAACAUCAAUUCAUGUCUUUUGUUGUUUUUCUGUUGCAGAUGAAUGCAACUACCCCCAUAUACUCCAAGGGUAAGUACAAUGAGAUUAUCAGGGAGGUGUUUUCUUACUUAAAGAAGUUUGGAUACGACACUUGAAAAAUUCCAUUCGUCCCCAUCUCUGCUUUUGAGGAUGACAACAUGAUUGAGACGUCCACCAACCUUGACUGGUAUAAUGGACCAACUCUCGUUGAGGUUUUUGACCAGAUCAACGAGCCCAAGCGGCCCUCAGAUAAGCCCCUCCGUCUUCCAGUCCAGGAUAUUUAAGGGUUGUAUUGGAACGGUGCCAGUGGGUCGUGUGGAGCCUGGGUAUGGUUGUCACCUCUGCACUCUGGCCAGCGUGUUGGAUAUGAUCAGAGACAGAUAUAUUAAGAUACAAAAGCAGAUAAAAUGAGCAGAGAGUCAUGCGUUUGUGGAGCAACUCUAUGGAUGAGAGCACUUUAGAAAAGGAGGCCACGAUGGAUCUGUAUUUGUACAGCUUCAUGGAAUGCAAAAGGAGCAUCUUUUGGACAUCACUUUUCCAAACAUCCUUCACUUGCAAGUAAAUGAUGGUCAAAAUAUGUUUAAUCAAGAUUUGUGCUCACAAAAAAUUAUACGUAUUUAUUAAAGGUUUACAAGUGCUUUCAGUAUUGUAACUGUGAUUGGUCAUAUACGUUCUCUUCUGGUGAAGUUAGGAGAGGUACUUAGAACUAAAGGAGGAAGAGGAUGUAUUAUUAUAUUAAGGCUCCCAAGAAUAAAGAUACUAUACUUUGAUCCAACC